UACAGAGGUCCCAAGCGUUGUUCGGAUUCACUGGGCGUAAAGGGUGCGUAGGCGGUCGGGUAAGUCUGAUGUGAAAUCUCACAGCUCAACUGUGAAACUGCAUUGGAUACUAUCCGGCUAGAGGAAUGGAGGGGAGACUGGAAUACUUGGUGUAGCAGUGAAAUGCGUAGAUAUCAAGUGGAACACCAGUGGCGAAGGCGAGUCUCUGGACAUUUCCUGACGCUGAGGCACGAAAGCCAGGGGAGCAAACGGG
rnacentral:rRNA from 1 species